rnacentral:miRNA from 1 species
AAAAUGCAUAAAGCAGUGAUGGCCAAACUUGACCCUCCAGCUGUUUGGGGACUACAACUCCCAUCAUCCCUAGCUAACAGGACUAGUGGUCAAGGAUGAUGGGAACUGUAGUCCCAAAACAGCUGGAGGGCCAGGUUUGGCCAUCACUGGCAUAGAGAUUCACUGGU